rnacentral:rRNA from 1 species
GGUUAAGCGACUAAGCGUACACGGUGGAUGCCCUGGCAGUCAGAGGCGAUGAAGGGCGUGCUAAUCUGCGAUAAGCGCCGGUAAGGUGAUAUGAACCGUUAUAACCGGCGAUACCCGAAUGGGGAAACCCAGUGUGACUCGUCACACUAUCAUUAACUGAAUCCAUAGGUUAAUGAGGCGAACCGGGGGAACUGAAACAUCUAAGUACCCCGAGGAAAAGAAAUCAACCGAGAUUCCCCCAGUAGCGGCGAGCGAACGGGGAGGAGCCCAGAGCCUGAAUCAGCAUGUGUGUUAGUGGAAGCGUCUGGAAAGGCGCGCGAUACAGGGUGACAGCCCCGUACACAAAAGCGCAUGUGCUGUGAGCUCGAUGAGUAGGGCGGGACACGUGGUAUCCUGUCUGAAUAUGGGGGGACCAUCCUCCAAGGCUAAAUACUCCUGACUGACCGAUAGUGAACCAGUACCGUGAGGGAAAGGCGAAAAGAACCCCGGCGAGGGGAGUGAAAAAGAACCUGAAACCGUGUACGUACAAGCAGUGGGAGCACAGGUUUACCUGUGUGACUGCGUACCUUUUGUAUAAUGGGUCAGCGACUUAUAUUCUGUAGCAAGGUUAACCGAAUAGGGGAGCCGGAGGGAAACCGAGUCUUAAU